AUGCCUCGACAGAGGAUUUUCCCGAAUACUAUCAAAGAAGCCGUGCAAGAGAUAAUCCCCUAUUUGGAGGAUACGAGCAAUGCUGCACACAAGGCCAUAUAUUUUGAUGGAUGGGAUGGGAUGGCUGCUUCGGUGGUGCUUAGAGCCAUAGUUGAAGACCCGCCACCGUCACUGCUGAAGAAAUUCGACAAGAUCAUCCAUGUUGAUUGCUCGAAGUGGAAAAGCCAAAGAGCACUCCAAAGGACAAUCGCACAAGAACUGAAGCUCCCUCAUCGGGUAAUGGAUAUUUUGGAUAGGCAAGAUGAAGAUGAUGAUUUCAGAGGGGUAGAUGAAAGCUCCAGAGCUGAGAUUGGAGUCAUUGCGAGGGAGCUACAUAAAGCCCUACGAGAACACAUAUGCUUAUUGGUCUUCCAUAAUGGCAGCAACAAUUUGGUUGACUUGGCUGAUUGUGGCAUUCCUCAACCGCCUAUCUUUGAUGUUAAGGUAUUGUGGACAUUUCGAGGAAGGCUUCGGCUCAACCAAGGAAUUAGUGAGAAGGUGGAUCCUUCGCAUCUUUUCCUUUAUGAUGAGUACAGUACUUACGGGUGGAAUUAUUUGCUUCAAAUAGAGGCUAGAGAAAUUGCUGGGUACACGGAUAAUCUUGGUGCAGCAGCAGCUACCGAGUGUUGCUUGUAUCUCUUGUCAUUAAAUUCUCAAGGAGGCAAUAUCAUGGACUAUGACUGGGCCACACAUGCUUCCAACUAUUGGGUAUGUGAUGGGAUUAUACAGGGAGGUCAGGGUGAUGAAGCAUGGAAGGUUGCUGCUGCUCUGCAUCAACAUAUAGAUAUGGAGGAUUAUGCAUCUAAUGCACUGCCCUCUUUUGGUCAUCGGUUGGAGACUCCUCCGAAACGAUGGAUAUUGGCCAAGGACAGCUCUGUUGUGCAGCCAGAGUCAACGUCAUUUUUCCUCACUGCAGCCGCAAGCGAGUCUGAUCCAUUGUUAAGACCCUUACCUAAUGACAUGUUUCAUCAAUCGGACAAACUUCGGGUGCUCAAGUUAUGUCAUUGCACCUUCAGUUUUUCCUCUCCUCCUUUUAGUCGUUGCCACAAGUUGAGAUUCCUUGGAUUAGAUGGCUGCAAGGACCAGCGAGCAGAAGAAGAUGAGAAGCAAGAUAUGGAUUUUUUGAAGAGCCUAUGGGUGAUAGACAUACAAAAUACAGACUGGCAUCUGCCUUCAUCACCAGAGAUGAUAAAGCAGAUGGCUGCAAACAUUAGGGAAGUACAUAUAAAGAAUGGAAUGUUUUGGCACAUCAUUUUUGCAUUGGGACAGCCACAAAAUCUUCACAAGCUUCGCGUUAUUGACCCUACAUGCUGCUCUUUGGAGACAGGUUUGCCCAGCUUGUCAAGUUCAACUAGCCUCAAGACUCUGGUUCUAGAUGGUCGUGUUGGUUUGAAAGUUAUAGAAGGACUCCCUCCAUCCCUUGAAUCAUUCAGCUUAGAUGCCAGACCAAAAAAGGAUGGUUACAAGGAAGCCAAAAUAAGUCGCAUCUCCAUGGCUGGCUGUGCAAGAUUGUCUGACUUCACACUGCGUGGAUCACUUCCAAACCUUGAGGAGCUGGACCUCUCAGGCACAGGAGUCAAGACACUUGUCCUUACAACUCAGGUGGUGCUGGCCCCAUGUCUCCAGCGAGUCAUGCUGUUGGGAUGUGAGCAACUCCGUGCUGUGCUUUGGCCAGAAAUGGGGAUGCCCCAACUAAGUUUGCUCUGCAUUGACACUCGAGGAGGAGAAGAGGUCGGAAGAAUACCACCUGGUUUUGAUAAGUUAAAAAAGGGUGAUUGUCAAGCAUAUGUUGCUAUGAUGGACAUGAAAUUCAUUCAGUUAUUGGUGCUAACAAGUUCCAAUAUGUUUUGGAACACUAACAUUGAUAUGUUCAAUCUAAAUCUCUGCAUAUCUGCAAGUGGACAGUGGCGCAAUAAGAAGAAUAUGGACUCUGAUAACAGUGGGGAAAAAUUGGGGCCAGCCCUAGCAAAGCCAUUAAUGUCCAAUUCUUCUCACAACCCCUACAUUGAUGCAGGUAUUGACAACAUAAGUAUAGAUCAUGACUACAACAGUGCAUCCCAAUUUCAGUCAUCGACCUACCAUGUGGAGAUUGGUGAUGGAAUUAGCAACACUUGUGUCGAUAGCAUACAAGCAACCAAGGCUAUGAUCUUUGCAACGAACAAGGCCAAGUCGUUGUGUGUGCAUGACAAUUCUUCCAUCACCACAGUCAUCCCAGAACACAUGAUGUCCAUAGAGGGAGAGAAACUUUUAUGGCUAGAACUGGAAUCUUGUCACGUGGUGAGAUGCCCCAAGAUGCAUACAGUCUUCAAUACUAUCUAUGGAUACAUCAGAUUUCCAAAACUAGUGAACUUUUGUGCGGCUGAUCUGCUGAUGACCCAUUGCAUUUGGAGCAAAGAGAGGACACUCAAUGUUGAAGAUAAUCGCUCCUUUGCGAAACUGCAGAGCAUACACCUGUUCUCCUGCCCGAGGCUCACAUUUGUCCUCCAGUGGUCCAGGUUAUACAUCUUGAGUAGCCUGGAGACCCUCCACAUCGUCUUCUGUGGUGAUCUAAGGCAAGCGUUCCCUGUGGCGCCAGAGGUUCUGACAAGAAUAGCUAACUACCAUAAAGGUGUACUGGAAUUCCCAAACCUGAAGCAUAUCUACUUGCAUCAGCUCUUCAAGCUGCAACAUAUAUGUGAAGCCAAGAUGUUUGCUCCCAAGCUGGAGACCAUCAGGGUGAGGGGAUGCUGGGGUUUGAGGCGGCUCCCGGCUGUCGGCCGAGACAACCGCCCAGUUGUGGACUGCGAGAAGGAUUGGUGGGAGAAGUUGGAGUGGGACGGGCUGGAGGCUGGCCAUGACCCUUCCCUCUUCAAGCCACGCCACUCGGCGUAUUACAGGAAGCCCCUGCCUAGAUGCUCAGUUCUGUGUGUGUUUCCUUCCUCAAGAAUAAAGUGGUGCAUCAAGGCUUAA
rnacentral:rRNA from 1 species